GGCAGCAAUGUAGUGUCGCCUCCACGUGGCGCUGCCUGGGAUCACUAGUGGUUACUACUGCUAGUGAUGCUAAGAGCACUACAUACAAGAAGAAUAGAUACUAACAGGUACUAUGUAUGAUGAAUUACAUUCCAUUGGUAGGUUAAUGACACUAAGAGGGUAUGUACAAUUCUCUGUUAAUGAAGAUUACAUUAAGUUGUUGUUUGAAGCUGUAUGUACCUUAAGAAGAUUAUUAUGAAGCUGUGAAGAAUUACUUUGAUAGUAUCGUUAUUGUUCUAUUACAAUUUUGUUUAUAAUUAUUUUAGUAUUAUUAUUUUUUUUCAAUUCGCAAUUUCUUCUUUAUUCAUCAUUGAUUAUGAAUUUCGAUU